CCUACGGGUCCAUUUAUCUUCUCUGAGCCGAGCCCUACCAGCAAAGCCGCCGGCCCGCCCCCGUCGCCCGCCGGCCGGCCGCCCCCCGCCGCACGCAAGAAGCGCUCCCCCGCCGACAUGGACCUGUCGCCCUAUCCCGCCGCCGCCGCCGCCGCCGCCCCGCCCCGCAGGGAAGUGACCUACGACCGGCAGUCCAGCGCCGCGCGGACCGUGUUCGCCGGCGGGGCCGCCGCCGUGCCCCUUGUGGAGGCCA
rnacentral:rRNA from 1 species